CCGGCCUUGACAUCCCGAUGGAUGCAGGGCAAUGCCUGCAGUACUUCGGUACAUCGGAGACAGGUGGUGCAUGGUUGUCGUCAGCUCGUGUCGUGAGAUGUUGGGUUAAGUCCCGCAACGAGCGCAACCCUUAUCCUUAGUAGCCAGCGAGAGAGACGGGCACUCUAGGGAGACUGCCGGGGACAACCCGGAGGAAGGCGGGGAUGACGUCAAAUCAUCAUGCCCCUUAGGGCCGGGGCUACACACGUGCUACAAUGGCGUAAACAGAGGGGAGGGAACCCGCGAGGGGGAGCGGAUCCCAAAAAUAACGUCCCAGUUCGGAUGGUAGUCUGCAACCGGACUACAGGAAGCCGGAAUCGCUAGUAAUCGCAGAUCAGCAUGCUGCGGUGAAUACGUUCCC
rnacentral:rRNA from 1 species